GUAGAGGAGAAACUCGGCGCCCUAUCCUUCUCUUUUUUUUGCCUUCCGUUCUUUCUUAAAUAACGUAUUUGCCACCGAACUGGUUCAGGGAAUCGGUGUCUCGGCUUAUGGAUAUUAUUAUCAACUCUCUUUACAGCAACAAAGCGCUUGAUAAAAUAAGGUUUCUGUCGCUAACGGACGAAGACGUUUUGGGUGAAGGAGACAAUGCCAGGCUUGAAAUUCAGAUUAAGUUGGAUAUAGAAAAGAAAAUUCUUUCGAUUCGCGACAGAGGUAUAGGUAUGAUGAAGGAGGAUUUGAUCAAGAAUUUGGGUACCAUAGCCAAGUCAGGAACUUCAGCAUUUGUGGAGAAAAUGCAGUCAAGUGAGGACCUUAAUUUGAUUGGACAGUUUGGGGUUGGGUUCUACUCUGUAUAUCUUGCUGCUGACUAUGUUGAAGUCCCUAGCAAGCAUAAUGAAGACAAGCAGUAAGUGUUCUUGAAUGUUGGGGCCGGAAAGAUUGGAUACAUGUUGUUUGUGGAUUUCAGGCAUGUGUGGGAAUCGAAGGCUGAUGGAGCGUUAUCGAUAUCUGAGGAUACCUGGAAUGAACCUCUGGGACGUGGAACUGAGAUAAGAUUGCAAAUCAGAGACGAAGCUGGAGAGUACUUGGAGGACAAGAAUUUGAAAUGUGAUGCGAACUGCCCAACUGAUGUACCAGGCAGCACUCAUGGAGAGUGGCUUCAUGCUCAACGAUCCCAAAGAUUUUGCCUCUCGUAUCUACAGCUCUGUGAAAUCUAGCCUAAGCAUCAGUCCGGAUGCAAUCAUUGAAGAGGAAGAUGAUGUAGAAGAAGUUGAAACUUAAAACAAAAGAAGCCACUUCCAACACUGAAGCUGAACCCACAAGAGAUGAUGAGGAUACAGAACCUUCUGCUGUCAAGGAUGAGUUGUAGAUUGCCCAAAGAAUGUGCUAUUUCCAUCCUUUUUCAGGCAUUCUUUUUUCCUGUAAUGCUGUUUAUUAGAGAAGCUGAACUGCUUCAUGUAUUUUUCACAGUCGAACUUUAUAGUAGGUCGUAGAGCUAAUGUAUACACACAGAUUUUACCUUUUCAGCACAUAGUUAUUGAUGAGCUGCAAAAAUGGAAUUUUGGUCC